rnacentral:lncRNA from 1 species
GUCGCUGCGCGUCGGAGCCCGAGGGGCCGGGGACGCGCGCGGGGGGAGAGGGGCAAGAGUCCUGGAGGCCCGGCGGGGAGCGGGGCGAUUUCGAAAGGAAGGACUGCAGCGCCCCUCGGGGCUUCUCGGGGAGCCCAGAGCUGCCAUGACAUUGGCUGGAAGAACACAAGCAUCUUGAGUGUGUUUUCAGAAGUGGGAUGUGCUUUGAAUUGAUCUCCUGCCCCGUUAUCAAGAGUGUGACUUGCAAGAUGCCGUUAGAAACAUCUUUAUCCUACUAAGUUGAAAGAUCAACGUUUUGAAACGUUACAAUUAAAUGAGACUAUUUCAACAUGUUUGUUUAAAACGACGACACAUUGUGCCCAAAGGAGGAAAGAGCUCAAUGCGGAAUCACAUAGGCAAAGGCUCUGAUUAUUUUCCUUGCAAUCGAAGACAAAAGCCGCCAUGUUUAUUAAAAUGAAAGUCGUAUUUUUACUCUUCCCUGGAAAGAAGUAUGUGCAACCAGACCAUCCCACCAAAGUCCUUCUAGGUAGGGGGAUAGGAGAGUAUUAGCUAAAGAAUACAAAGUUUUUUGGGGGGGUUGAUAAAAAUGUUCUAAAAUUGACUGUGCUAAUGGUUGGUUACAUUUAUCUGUGAAUAUACCAAAAACAAUUGAAUUGUAUGCUCUAAAUGAGUGAAUUGUAUAGGUGUAAAUUAUAUCUUAAUUUUUUAAAGUUUUAAAGGUAAUAUAAUUCUCUGAUGAGCCAGGUUAGGAUGUGAACUUUAGCCAUGGACUAAAGCAAAGUACACGGGAAAAAAAAUCCUUCAUUUUGACUUAGCAUCAUAUAUGUUGAAACAACAAAAUGUAACUAGAGAAAAUUUAAAUAUAUUUUCUAUUUCAUUCAUAUGCCAAAGGAAAAUUAAACUCCCCUUCCUCCAAAAAAUGGAAUAACCGUACCCAGUAAGAG